CUCUUGCAAUUUAGUAGUGGAGCCUGUGAUUUCUUUUCUUUCUAUCCCAUAAAUGCUUGGACUUUUGAUUGUGGUGGGGGUUUCUUCUUGGUUCUUAUUCCCAGCAGCUGGUAACUAUUUAUGUUUUGAUAUAGCUAUUUGGAAGUUUUAGGAAUGGAUAAGAUUUUUCCCUAGGUGGGUUGAACACUUUGUUACUCAGAUACAGAUCCUGUGAAAAGUCUGAAGUAUAUUUCCAGACAUCUCUCUAUCAUCACUUUACAGCAUUUGGAUCACUUGUAUUCAGAAGUUUGCUACAGGCAGCAUGAAAAUACUGGGAAAAGCAAAGUGUGCAAUGAUAUCAGAGCCAAGUGAACAAUGCAGAAACGGAUCCUGGGUGCCUGGAUCUCUAACCAUGACUGCAAAGCACAAAGGCUAUGUCAAAGCAUUCAUGGAUAGACUCCCCUACAUGGCUGCUAAAGAAAUUUGGAAUCAUGAGAGCAGGACUAGCCUUUUCCCAAGGGGCUGGAGAGACCUUUGCCUGAAGGCACCUGAGAUCUGGAGAAUAGCCUCCAAUAGUCUUGGAGAAUUGACAGAGGCCUCUGGGGUGCCCUGCUUAGCUGCUUUGAGACAGGUCAUACAGCAUUUUCACAACUCCACUGCAAACCAUAAACUUGGAAGAGCAACUCUCCUUUUCUGUGUAGCUGUGCAGCAGUUACCAGUUGAUGAAGACGUGUCAGCAGACUUCAGCAGACCAGGCAAGAGAGACGUUUAUUUACUGUAAGAUAAACUGCAAAAGGAGGAAAAAGGAGUUAAUUGCUGCUAAAAUUGCUUCUGGUAAGGGGAGUGUUUUGUUUCUCCUGUAACUAGUUACUGUGUUUCUGCAACUGAGGCUGCACCUGCCAUAGCAGAGUAUUCCUGGGUACUCUAGAAACUAGUGCAGAAUUAAUUUCAAAGAAAUAACAAGACGUGGGGAGCUGAAGGCUAUUGCUGUCAUUGUGAAAUCCUGUUUUUGUGCAAAACUAAUCAACGUGGCUCAGCCUUUGAGUAUAAAGCUUCCAAUUAACUUUUCCAUCAGAAGAUGCUAGAAAAGACAUGUCACAUUUUGGAAAUCCGCUAAGUACGAUGCACAGGAGAGAUAAAUUCAAAUCAAAUUCAAAUCACAAAGAAUCCUGACUCUGGGGCUGAAGGGUUAUGUGAGGCAAACUACUGAAGCCUACUGAGCCCCUUUGUCCCAAGGAGGCUGCCAGAGAGUCUCCUUGGCUGUCAAAUGAAGCAGGGAAGAAAGUUGUGUUGUUGACUCUUUGAGUUGAUUGCUGAGAGAACAGGGGUAAUUUCCUCACACUUGACAAAACAGACACAGAAGGGUAAGAGACAGGGUAGCAAAAAGUAGGGAAGCAUGAUUUUGCACUCAUGUUUUCAGGGUACGUGGCAGCUGGUCAGUCACAGAUGGAUGCUCUGGGCUGGCAGGUCGACCAUGACAGCUGUUGCUUUAAACCUUGGCUUGCUUCCCUUGUCUGCAACCUCAUCAGGACAGGUUGAAUAAAGCUCUUAGGCUAGGCCUCAGUGAAGCUCUGGGCUCUGGCAUUGGUGUGGUUCAACACAGUUCACUGGACAAGACAGGAAUGACAAGAGAGGGAACAGGAGGAGGUGGGAGGGGUGAAGAAGGAUGUACAGCCAUGGGAUGAUGGAGCAAGAGCUUGUGCAGCUCAGGGCAUCCAAGCUGGAUAUCCCAGCAGCUGAGACUUGUGCAAACAGGUCAGAGUUAUCCAAGCGCUUCCAGCCUUAUGCCAGCACAUCCUGCAGCAGCUCUGCAUCUCUUUGUUCUGGUCCAUGGUGUUGUGUUUCUUUUUGUAUGUGUACAUACAAAGCUCCUCAGACACUAAACUGAUGACUGGCAUAAUUAAAGAAUUAUAUAUUCAAGUCA